rnacentral:lncRNA from 1 species
CAAAAUGUAUGGGGGCGUUUCUGUUUUGGGUCACCGGUAAUGCUUGUAAACUUCCGGUUGUCAACUUCUGGACGCUGUGACACUCUAAGAUGCCACUAAACCUAUCAAACAAGUCGUUUUGUAACCUUUGCAAGAAGUUAACAUGAACACAAACGAAUUCGGUGACGAGGUGGUAGUCAACCAUAAGAUUAAACACAUAUACACGCCUGGACGGACCAAGGAAGAGGUCAGAGAUAGCUACAACAGCUGGGCGGAUACGUACGAAAGUGUGGGUACAUUAUCUUGUCAAUGAGAGAAGAAUACUUGAGAGAUCCAGAAUAUGACGGUGUAUUGGAAGUCUUGAUUGAAAGUAUGGAGGAAAAAGGAAAAUGGAUUAUAAUAAAGAAAAGCGUGAUUCCUGAUUAUUACGUAGAAAAAGAGGGAAUUGUGUUUGUGUUUAAGAAAACGUAACUUGUACAUGGAAACUUUUCCUUAUUUUGUUUGAUAUGUAACUAUAUGAUAAAAGUGUAAACUUUAAAACAAUUUGUUGAUAUUGAGCAGUCUCAUUUGGUUGGGAAGAUCACUUAUGACAAACGAAAAAACUACAAAAUAAAAACAAAUUCAACUUGC